AUUUAUAUAGUUUAAUAAAAACAUUAUAUUUUCAAUAUAAAAAUAAUUUAAAAUUAUAAAAAAUUUAUAAAUA
rnacentral:tRNA from 1 species